rnacentral:rRNA from 1 species
GACGACGCUGGCGGCGUGGAUUAGGCAUGCAAGUCGAACGGUAUGGACCUUCGGGGUUCAGAGAGUGGCGAACGGGUGAGUAACACGUAGGUAAUCUACCCUCAAGACGGGACAACCCAGGGAAACUUGGGCUAAUACCGGAUGUGAGCAACUUUUAGUUGUUUGAAAGGUGGCGUAAGCUGUCGCUUGGGGAUGAGCCUGCGUCCUAUUAGUUAGUUGGUGAGGUAACGGCUCACCUAGGCAAUGAUAGGUAGGCGGCCUUAACGGGUGGUCGCCCACACUGGGAUUGAGAUACGGCCCAGACUCCUACGGGAGGCAGCAGUCGAGAAUAGUCUACAAUGGUCGGAAGACUGAUAGUGCGACGCCGCGUGAACGAUGAAUCCCUUCGGGGUGUAAAGUUCUUUUAUAUGUGAGCAGUGCUUCUUAUAUUAACAGUAUGGGGAGAGAGAUAUUAGCAUAUGAAUAAGCAACGGCUAACUCCGUG